AUACAUUAUAUAUAUGUAACAGUUUAUCUUCUUAGUUUUCAGAGGGGAAAAGUCAAAUAAAAGAAUUUUCUUUAACUAGUAUUUUUUUAUUCAGGAAUUUUUCUUGAAUCUUUGUUACCAAUGAUUGCUUUUGUGGUAUAAAAUGAAUGAGGAGUUAGUGUGAUCAGUGGAAAAAACUGAAAAAUAGCCUCCACCUAGCAAAUAUUGAGAGCUUCCCUGGAAAAUAGUUUUCCAGAUUCCUCUGCAAUUUAUUUCCAACCUUCUUCCAUUUCAAGUCCAGUUUACCCUUGCUUCUGACCUUUAGUAUCACAUCUUGUUUGUGAUCCUCUUCUGCCCUUUGGACGAAAGUAAAUAUUUGGCUUUGCUAGUUUUGAUGCUCCUAAAGAUAUUGGUUCUGCCUUCCUUCUCUGGCCGUGGGCAGGAAGAAUCAGAGCUCAGUUUGGUCUCUCAGCCGUCCCAGCUAAUUCUGAAUUGUUCACAGAGAAACAAGACAUUAGACAGAGGAGACAUUAUUGGGCGUCUUGCCUUUGGGCAGGAUGAAUCAUUCCUAAGGAAAACUCCAUUCCUCAGGAACUAUUGGGUCAGCUCUGCUCCUGUGAUGGGGGCAUGGGCGGGGUGCUGUCUUGGCCCAAAGACCCUGUGAUGGAGAGAGUAGGUCUGUACUGGAAUUCUGUAUUAGAAACCAACAUCCUCCAGCCUGGCUGAGGGAUUAAAAUUCCAACACUACUGUCAUGUUCAUUGUGAUAGCCUCUAGGAAUACCAAUACCAAUAAGUCAUGGUUGCUUCACUCAAGAAACUCAUGGUUCAUAGAAGAGACCAGGCACACAAACGUAUAAUUACAAUAUAAAUUGGUAAGUGGUGACUGAGAUAAGAACUGGGUACUAGGGGAACACAGAAGACAUGUAGUCCAACUUGAGGGGUUCAAGGACAGCUCAAGAAGCAAGCUGAGCCUUCAACGAGAAUUAAAGUUUAGCCAUCAGGAGUUCCCAUUGUGAUGCAGCGUAAACAAAUCCGACUAGUAUCCAUGAGAUUGUGUGUUUGAUCCCUGGCCUUGCUCAGUGGGUUAAGGAUCCGGCAUUGCUGUGAGCCCUGGUGUAGGUCGCAGACGCAACUCAGAUCCUGCGUUGCUGCGGCUGUGGUAUAGGCCUGCGGCUACAGCUCUGAUUAGAUCCCUAGCCUGGGAACCUCUGUAUGCUACUCGUGCAGCCCUAAAAAGCAACAAAAACAAAAACAACACAAAGUUUAGCCGUCAAAGAAAUAAAUAACAAUAACAACAACCAAAAAACACUACCAUUUAUUGGCAAUGUGCCAUGUUCCAGGCAUAUGCUUUACAUGAAUUAUCUCAUUUAAUUCCCAUAACAAUCUGUGAAGUAGAUUACCACUCCCAUCUGAUCAAUGAGGACACUGAGAUUCAAAAAGUAAAUUUUUUUUAUCUCAUACUUGCUGUAAGUGAUGGGGAUGGAGGCAUGCAUCUUUUAGUAUUUUAAAUCAGGAUGCAGCAAACUUUUUCUGUAAAGAGACUGAUAGCUGCUUUGCUAUCAGUAGCUACUAAAUUGGACUUUUCAGCUACUCUUAACUCUGCUGUUACAGUGUGAAAACAGCCAGGGAACUUGCAGACAUCAGUAAGCAUGGCUGUGUUUAUGUUAAACUUUAUUUAUGGGCAGGAAAAUUUGAAUUUUAUAUGAUUUUUCUGUGUCACUAAACCUUCUUCUUCUUCUGAAUUUUUUCCCAAGUACUUAAAAAUUUAAUAGCCCUCCUUAGCCAUAUCGAUACAGGCCAUAUUCAAACAAGUGUUGGACCAAAUUUGGCCCUCAGACCAUCCAUUACCAAUCCCACUUUAAAUCAUUUUAAUACCUAAAUUCCUCUCUGAUUCUUGUUUGCAGGUGUCCUUCUCCUUUGUGAUAGUGGGGAGCUCUGUUGGUUUUAUUUCAUUUUUAUUAAAGUGCAAGUGACUGGAUUUUCUUUGAUGUUUUCUAAGGUAAAGAAUAAUUUCUCACCUUCCCAGAGUGCCAUUUAGCUGAAAGUAAGAGUGCCAUGGCUGAUGUUGGCACCAGUUAGAAUCCAUCAGUUUCUCUGCCCUGAUGUGACUCUGAAACACUUGGCAGAACUUUACUUCUUGUUCUUCCAGCCCGUUUUGCUUUUUCCCUCCCUAUUCCCGGGCACAUUCCUCUGAGUUAACAAGCUCAUUCCUUUAUGGAUCCAGAUGGGGACGCUGAUAAUGAGCAAAGUGAUGACUUCAGAAAAUGACCCUUCAUGGAGGUGUUGGGUGAGCCCUAGAACAUUCCCUCAUUUUAAAGAGGAGAAGUUAAAGGCUCUGGUCAACACUAGGGAAUGAAAGCCUUCUUGUAGAAAAGGCCCAAUUUAAGUAAAAUUGUUAAAAAAGUUCAAGUCCAUUGCUUGUAACAAUGGGGAAGGGGUAAAACAUCCUUUAUGAGCACCUCUAUUCUUUCUUAGGCUCUCUUAUGUCUGCUUAGAACUCCUACCUACUUGCAGGUGUUCAGUGUAUUCAAAACUCCCCUUGCUCAGCUACUCAGAUCAAGGGCAUUUUCAGAAUAGCCUUUGGUAUUUCAAAAUUAUAGGAUGAGAACUCUGUCCUUCCUGACACCCAGGAAUGGGUCCUUUGGAGCAGAACUCUGAAUGGCUUAUCCUAAUAUCCACUCUCCCCUUCUUCCUUAGUAAUAGAAUCCAAAAUUGUUACCCAGGCAAAUGACUAUCUGGAAAAAAAGACAAGAUUUUCCUUGCUUCCUUAUAGCCAGCUGUGAACAAAUGAAGGUGUUCUGAGCAAUGAUAUCCAAGGGGAACUGUUGUUCAGUAGCUUUCAAGAAACACACUUAAGUAUCUUGUAUGCACACUUGUUCUCCCUUCUUAUUGUCUCUUUCUCUUUGAAAUAAAGAUGCUAUGGCUGGAGCUUCAGCAGCCACUUUGAGCAUGAAUAUGAAGGCCACACACAAGGGAUGGUGGGUCAAGAGCUGGUUCCUAAUCUCAUAUGGCCACCAAAUUAGCUCUGGACUACCUCUGGGUUUUUUGUACAUAGGUAAAAAAUUAAAUGCUGCCUUUCUUAUUUAAGCAACCACUUUAUUGAGUUACUAUUGUAUGCAGCUAUCCCCAAGUUGAAAUGAUACAACAAUCAAUUUGCCAGACUCAUCUGGGCAGAAGUAUUGUCUCUGGAUUUUGGAGGCAUUUGGACUCAUAUUUUACCAGGCACCCAGUGGCAGGUAAAGGUCAUCAGUGGCACCUCUAAGACUAUUUUAAUAAUUUCCUGGAUCCCAUUCAUCAGAUCCAUAUCAAUUCUUGGAUCGGCUUUGAACUUGGAGGUCUUCCAUAUUGCUUAAGGCCAUAGGGUAGAAUAGAAGUCUAGAGCAGAAACUCAUGACUUGCCCACACGUGCUCAACCUCUCAGUAGUUGUGUGUCCUAGAGUAAGUUAACUUCCUUUCGCCUCAGUUCCUUAACACUGAAAUAGUGGUGUGAAUAGCAGCCACCUUAUAGGAUUAUUGUAAGGCUUAAAUCAGUUAAAUGUAAUUAUGGCAAUUAAACAUUGACUGGAACAAAGAAAUGCUAUCUAAGUGUGUUGUUAUCAUUAGUACUAUCAUUGUUAUUUAAUUAGGAGUUCCCAUAGUGGCUCAGCAGUAAGGAACCUGACUAGUAUCCACGAGGAUGCAGGUUAGAUCCUUGGCUUCACUCAGUGGGUUAAGGAUCCUGCAUUGCUGUGGCCAUGAUGUAGGCCAGCAGCUGUAGCUCUGAUUCAACCCCAAGACUGGGAACGUCCAUAUGCCAUGGGUGUGGCCCUAAAAUAAGUAAACAUUCGCUAUUAAAAACUUCCAAAUUGCAUAAAAUCAAUAAGGUAAAACUCAAAACGUUCCUUAAUGCGCUGGUCUCACUGUCAUUCGUUAUUAACUCUUGCACAUGCAUCCUUUCAGGUAUGUUCCAUGCAUGCAGAAACAUACAUAGACAUGCAGCAAGGAGAGGCAUAUCUGGAUACAUAAAUUCUGUUGUUUUAUAGAAAAAAUUAAUACUAUACCUACUUUCUACUUAUUGUUUUUUUGACUUGGGAUUAACCUUUUUAUUGAGUAUAAUUGACAUAUAACAUUGUAUUUGCUGCAGGUGUACAAUGUAAUGAUUUGAUAUAUGAAUACAUUGUGAAAUGAUUAUUACCACAUGAAGUUUAGUUAACAUCCAUCACCACACACAGUUAUAAAUUUAUUUUCUUUUUAAAAUUUUUAUUUAUUAAAUGUAUUGUCUUAUGAUGAGAACUUUUAAGAUUUACUCUCUUAGUGCAUUUAUGUGAGUAUAUCUGGGACAUAGAACAUAUGAAUUAUAUCGAUAGAGAUGAAAAGCUUUCCAAAAGUUUGUUUCAAUAUAUAGUUCACAAAUAAGGAAAACGAGUUCUGUCUCCUCACACUACCUUUAAGAUUGAGAAUUAUCAAACAUCUUAACUUUUUACCAACAUGAGAGAUAAAAAAACAAUGUUUAGGAGUUCCUGUCAUGGCUCAGUGGUUAACGAAUCCAACUAGGAACCAUGAGGUUACAGGAUCGAUCCCUGGCCUCGCUCAGCAGGUCAAGAAUCCAGCAUUGCCAUGAGCUGCUGUGUAGGUCACAGACUCGGCUCAGUUCCCAGGUUGCUGUGGCUG
rnacentral:lncRNA from 1 species